rnacentral:tRNA from 1 species
GCCGAAGUGGCGGAAUUGGUAGACGCGCGGGUCUCAAAAACCCGUUCAGGCAACUGAGUGAGGGUUCGAUUCCCUCCUUCGGCACCA